GUUGGCAACUAAGUGAUUGCGGAUUUUGUCACUAGGUGGCAUUGACAAAAUCCGCAAUCACUUAAACCCAAUAGACUCUCAGCGAGACAAAAACACGAUUAUUCAAAUUUAUUUCUUUCCAACUUACAAUUUAUUAUUAUCAUGAAGAAUUGGUAAUUGUGGUGUUCGCUGGAAAUUACGUUCCAAGUUCACCGACACGAGGCCCUACACAACCUGACACAGGUGUCUAACUUCCGUCCGUCAGAUGCGGUCCGGAAAUCGCGUGUUUACGAGGAAUGCGGCCUAGACACGAUUAAUCUUUAUUAACAUGGACCUCGCUCAGCGGAAAUUCUCACCAACGACUGCAUGCAUAUGCAUUCGUUCGCAAAAAGACAAAGUGAAAGAGGGGGAGACAGAAGAGGAAAAGACAGAAAGAGAGAAGAGAGAAAAAAGAGGGAAUUGUAGUAGUUUAAAGGCGUCGAUCGAUAUCAAAGCCCGGAGCAAUUUGUCGGCGGAGACAAUAUCGAUGAGGAACUAUUGUACACGACAGCCCCGGAGCCUACGAAAGUGCAAAGUAGUCUAGUUCUGCUUAUUCGUCUUUUAUCCUGUCCUCCCUCUCUAAUUAUCCUCGUUUCCGUCUACCUCUGACUUUUUUCUUCUCUCAUUCUCUCUCUCUCUCUCUCUCUCUCUAGCUCGCUCUUUUUCUCUUUCUCUUUCGUUCUUCAACCUCCAUCCGCUGUCUGGUGGAACGACGGCCGAAAUUUCAACGGAAAUCUCGUAAUUAAUCGCCUCAUUAGCAUGUACGAGUCAGCGAAUUUGAUUUAUAUUCUAUCGUAUAGCGUACGUGUUAUGGAAAAUGUAGCUUUCAGUCAAAUAAAACGAUCAAAUCUUAUAUUUCUCGCCUCACUGAUAUUUUACAUUUUUCUUUUCUCCACUGUUUGAGAAAAAUAUUUUCAAACGCGUUUGAACGUUUCUACUGGUUUUUCUGGAGUGAGAAGGCCUCAGUGAUUCUAUUUGGAAAAAAGCUUCGAGUGCAUCUUACCGGCUGCUUCGUUGCACUCGAGGUACAAGCGGAUGGUUGUAAGUUGUAGGUUAGAUGUUCUUAAUGCAUGCAGCUUCUUCCUUUAGAUUUUAUCUCUACGUGUUAAGUAAUGGUCGACUUGGUUUCCUGGUGAAACUCAUGUUUUUAAAUACUCAGAAAGGUAUGUUUGAACGAUAAGGUAAAUGUAACACUAUCGGCUUCUUGCGCUGAAAAUUAAUGUUGCAAUAUUUCUCGAUAUUUUAUAAUAUGUCGUAUAAUUCAUCGCUGAUGUUUUUUCACUUUAACCAUAACUUUGGUACGUAGAAAAAUAAUUCUAAAUAUAUCGUGAGAUCUUUUCUGUUCAGAAUUACAGUACUCGACGUGUCUCAAAGUGUUGACUUUUUUUAUUAUAGCCGUACCAAUAUAAUCGACUGACAUAUGAACCCGAUAGUUGGCCAAAAGCUAAUACAAUUUUUUCCAUUAAAGAUUUCUUCUUUAAUGGAAAGAAAGGAAGCCAAUCGAAUGUAUCCAGACAAAUUGACAAAUAUAUUGGCCGGUCCACACGGUCGACGGUAAGGAAGAAAUUCGAAACGAAAAAACCUAUGAAAUGGCAAGGUGAUAUUGCAUUCCUCUUUCUCAUUGGCCUUUUUUUAAAGGAGAGCCAUUCGUUCAAGCGUUCAACUUCCACCAGGAAAUAUCGCAAAUCUUUACUUCACUUUUAUUAUUUUUACUAAUACGUCCGAUUUCUACGCUUUACGAAACACACGAUGCAGAAAAUAGGAAACGAGGAAAGUUGUGGAUGGUCAAACGAAGUAACAAAUUAAACACUACCGUGAUCAACGAAAAACUUGCACGUUGAGAAGAUUCCCAGAUUUUCUAACCUCCAAAAAAUGACCGAUCAAUGGUAAAAGCAAAAACGACACAAGAUAGGAAUAUUCCUGUUGAGGUUAAGGUUGACUGAUUGAAGAACGAGUGGAUGAAUUUGUAAUAGAAAAGUACAUUGGAAUAAUUAAAGGCAUAAGUAUAAGCAUAAUUUUAUGCUGAUUCAGAUCCUUACUCUCUUAGUGUUACUAGACAAUGGAAUGGUGUGGAGCACGUUCAUAUAUGUAAUAUCGUGAUGGAAUAUAUUUACAAUGAAUGGAUGAUACAGGUGUUAAUCAGACAGAAAAACGACAGUUGUUCAACAUGAACUAAUCGCAGCAAACGUUUAAUAAACAGCACAACUAAAUAAUUAAUCGACUCGACUUUCAUAAACGCAAUCAACACUCUCUCGGCAACGCAACUCGCAAUCACUGUUGAUUCGUCUCUCGUUCCUUAGCAACCACUCGUGGCCAAGAUCACGUAGGCCUCCUCUUUCUAAAACUACGCGAUCGAAACGAGCGCCUCGGCUCUCGCGACAUUCCACGCGGUUCACCCGCCAACUCCCGGGCCCCUCGCUCGCGAUACUAUUUAUUUUGAAGAAAACUUCGAUAGUUAUGAUAUGAAAUUAUACAUCUUAAAUUACAUGUAUUUCUUAAUAAAAUUUUCAUUAAUAUUUUCAUUAUUAUUGUACAUUACUUUAUUUUAUAUAUUCUUUUUUAUUUCUUUAUUGUACUAUAGUUUAUUCUAUUUUGUAUUUAUUUCAUCCAUUUUACUUAUUAUAUACGUUACUGUUACUUUCUUCGUUCGCACUUUAAUUUAGGAAACGGCUUCCUCGAAAAUAUUCGGUUGGCAACUAAGUGAUUGCGGAUUUUGUCAUUACCACCUAAUGACAAAAUCCGCAAUCACUUAGUUGCCCAAUGUUGAGGUUGAGGUUAACUGAUUGAAGAACGCGUGGAUGAAUUUGUAAUAGAAAAGUAUACUGAAAUAAUUAAAGGUAUAAGUACAAGUAUAAUUUAUAAUUUAUAAGUUUAUGCUGAUUGACAUCCUUACUCUCUUAGUGUUACUAGACAAUGGAAUAAUAGGGAGCACGUUUGUAUAUUUAUAGGAAAAGGAUAUUACCAAGAAAGUUAACCUUAUAGCCUUGGCUAGAGACUACAGGGAACAUAACUAGAAACCUGUUUAUUAGUUUCUUUGUUCCUAGACCUUGCAACCCAAAACAUAAUGCAUACUCAAGGGUACAAUAAUAUGCACCGCUCCUUAUUUAGAAUAUUUCUGCGUAAUAGCAGUCCUCAGGUCACGAAUAUACAUAAAUAAAAAUGUAGAGUUUUUCUUGAAGUAGUUACUUCAACAAUUCCUAUAUAUGAUAUUGACGUGAACGUUAUGUAAAAAGUUAGGGAAGAUUAUUCUUUGCCGAGAUAUAGAAAUAAGCAAUUCUUUAAAAAUUGAUAUCACGACAGGAACGUUUUUGAGGCAAACAUACAGGGAGCAUACAUACUUUAUAUUGAAGACGAAAAACAGAUUCGCGAAAAUCUACUCGAAUAUGAAAAGAAGAGCAGAAAGGAAGAGAGAGAGAAACGCAAAGGUAGGAAUUUCUGUUUCCCGCAGUCGGAUGAGAAGAGUCACUGUCAGAAAUUUCAUACAGCAAAGCGAAUUUUAAUGGCGAAAUAUCCGCAUAAAACGAAAAUUUGCGGCGACCAAGCCCUCGAAGUUGAUGCAUCACUGCGAAAGACGAAAUAAGUUUCACGAAUAUGGAAAAAAAUGCCGGAGUCGAUUUCCCGUGGCGUCCUCGUGAAUAAUAACGAGCUCUCCGUGCGACGAGAUUCUUCGAAAACUCGUUAAAAGUUCGGCCAUCCUGGUGACAAAUCAAUCAACUCGGGAAUCCAGAUACGCUGCCGAUAUCCUGCAUCGAUUCUUAUGAUUUCUGGCCCGGUUUUCGCCUAUGAAUCACUUUCCAUCGACGAAAAACCGAUACCUGGCUAAGUUUCUCGUUGGGUUUCGCGUCGAUGGUCAUAUUUUCGCCGGGGAAAUUGCACGAAAUCGACGGGGCGAAGCUUGCGCAGCGAAGUUUCAAGCUAAAUCAAAGAUGAACGAGGGAGUAAGAGACGCUUUGAUGCGAAUCCAAACGAUAUUUGAUGUAAAUUGGUGUAAACUGCGCGAGAGAGAUUCUUUGAUCUUCGCAAUUGCGAAACAAUUAAGAGCUAGCAUGCCGCGAGCAAUUCGAGUAGUUUCUUGCGAGCCUCUGAUGCAAAGUGAACCAGGCUUUUCUUUGCUAUUAGAUUUAAGCCACAUUUAACCGACAUUUCAGUACGAAAUCACAUUCUCACACAAGAAUAUUAUUAACCACAUGUAUUAUAUCUACGAAUUAUAUUAUGCAAAUGAGGUAACAUUAGGUGUAGCGCGUUAAAUAAUCACUCGGUGUUUAGGUCAAAAAUAUGUUUAUUAACAAGCGUCUUCCUUUGAUCGCGUCGCGUAUCGCUCUCGGUUUCGCUAGUCAAUCUCACUGCCCGGUUACGACUCGACCUUAUCGCUUCUUGGUUCGAGCCUAACUGUCGAUCGGAUUCGAUUCUUUUCUUUUCGUCGCCCCUCAAUAUCCCCACUAUCCAACCGUUUGUUUGGCGUCCGCGAACAUUGCCACGCACGCCUUUUUUCUCGAACGGAAGGACCGUUGGGAUAUUGAUGGCUCAUUAGGCACUUCGCUUCGGCGGUAUACAUUGUUGCCGAGUGCCGCUACACAAAUAUUGCCUAUUUAUAUCUGUGUUUAUAUAUCUGUAUUAUGCAAAGAUUGGAAAUUUCCUGGUAAUUUCAACGAGCCGCGAAAUUUUCUACAGAUAUUAACGUGCACUAAACAUAGAAAACUUCGUUGAAAUGAACGUAACUAUUGGGUUAGCAACUAAGUGAUUGCGGAUUUUGUCAAUAGGUGGCCUUAGCACAUUCUUUUGUUUUGUCAACGUGUUCAAAGCACCUAACCCAUAUUGUUUUCAUGUUGCUUGGACUUCCACCUUUAAUUUAGUAAAACAAUUGUAUCGAUUAGUUAUUUAGCUCAUUUUUAUUCCAAUUUAAAAAUGGAAGAACAACACGCACAUUUCAGACAUAUUUUAUUGUAUUAUUUCCGAAAAGGCAAGAACGCAUCGCAAGCACACAGGUUAUGUGCAGUAUAUGGGAAUGAAGCCUUGAAAGAGAGGCAGUGUGAAAAUUGGUUGGCAAAUUUCAUUCUGCUGAUUUUUCACUGAAAAAUGCUCAACGAUCUGACUGUCCAGUUGAAGUUGACGAGACUCAUACCAAGGCCAUUAUCGAUUCAGAUCGUCAUAGCACAACGAGUGAGAUUGCAGAGAAGCUCAAUGUAUCGCGUGCAUGCAUUAAAAAAAAAUUAAAACAGCUUGACUUUGUCAAGAAACUCGAUUUAUGUCCCCCUCAUCAGCUUAAAGAAAUUCUUUGGACGCAACGCAUUAGCAUCUGCGAUUCGCUUCUGAAACGCAACGAAAUUGAUCCAUUUCUGAAACGACUGAUUAUCGGCCACCAAAAAUGGAUAGUUUAUAACAACGUUAAUCGGAAAAGAUCGUGGGUGAUGCAAGAUGAACCAGCCCAGACGACACCAAAAUCUGAGAUUCGCCAAAAAAGGAUUAUGCUGUCAAUUUGGUGGGAUUAUAAAGGAAUUCUGUACUUUGAACUUUUACCAAGAAACCAAACGAUUAAUUCAAACGUGUACGUUCAACGAUUCGCAAAAAUGAGCGAUGCAGUUCAAGAAAAGCGGCCAGAAUUGGCGAAACGUAAGAGUGUUGUUUUCCAGCAUGAUAAUGCAAAGCCCCACACAUCUUUGUUCACUCGCCAAAAAUUAUUGGAACUAGGUUAGGAUGUGUUGUCACAUCCGCCAUAUAGCCCUGACCUUGUGCCUUCAGAUCACCAUUUAUUUCGUUCUAUGCAGAAUUCCUUAAAUGGUAAAAUUUUUAAUGACGCUGAUGAUGUAAAGUCACAUUUAAUUCAGUUUUUUGCUGGCAAAAAUCAGAAGUUUUAUGAACAUGGAAUUGUGACACUACCUGAAAGAUGGCAAAAAGUGAUCGACAAAAAUGGACAAUAUCUAAUUGUAUAAAGUUAUAUUUCUAAGCAAAAAUUUUGAAUUUUCCUUUUUAUUUAAAAUACGCAAUCACUUUCCACGAACAAAAAGGCUUUUGUUUUGGUAUUAGAUUUACAAGAUUCUCGGCCAUACACAGAAACUAUUACAGAUAUCUUUCCAUUAAUGUAUAUGAAAUCUUCUUGCUGAAAUGAACGCUUUAAAUUUUAGAUAAAAGUUUUAAACGAAGAAUGAACACUAAAAGUUCUUACUGACAAUUUACUGAUCGUUAAAGAAAAUGAAGCUUUAAUUCCUUAAAGAAUAUAAAUAUAAAAGAUUCCAGUCAUUUUCGAUCGCAACUUUUCUAUCGUUAAAAGACUCCUCGAGUUCGGGCAAGAUAUAAAAGAAUCGUUAACGACACGCUUCAUUUCCCAUUUCAAUAUUAUACUAAAAAUUUGAAAACUAUUAUAACUCCUGUUUGUUGAAACGCGAACGAAAUUGAGAUAUGAAAAUUUGAGAAACGCAGCAUGGUUAACCAGAGACAGUUCAAACAAAGAAUAAUCAUUAACUUUAGAAUAGCUUCAUCGGUUCUACAUCUUCUUAUCUCAGCUGAACUAAGGAAAGUCACUUCUAUGUACAUUCCACAAAGAGAGAGUAUCUUAUUCUCAAGAUUUGAUUUCCUUGGGGAUGUUACGUUAAGCAGACAGUUUUCAGUCGUUCCAACGAAUAUUACACAAAGGUGCCGUUUCCAUUUUCGUUAAGGAAAUCAUUUAUUGGCUUAAAGAAUAGCUGAAUUCCGAGCUGAAGAUAGUUAAAUCGCAAACCGAAUACGUCUUCGAAGCUGAUGAAUGUGUGGCGGCAUCCGACGGCUUCGCGACACGAAGCGCUAUGCCCAAUGUACCAUAGAUAUCUCUACGGUCCUUUCGCCGAAUAUUCGGAAGAAUGCAUACGCGGCAAUCGUCGUGGACAUCUAACAAACGCGUGCGUAGUGGGGAUAUCGAGGGGCAACAAAGAGAAGAAUCCGUUUGGUUUGGAACAAAAGAUUCAUUCCGUUCCAAAUAGCGAAAUGAGAAGGGUCUAGCGUAACGGCGAAGUGCGAAGGGUCUAGCGUAACGGCGAAGUGCGAAGGGUCUAGCGUAACGGCGAAGUGCGAAGGGUCUAGCGUAACGGCGAAGUGCGAAGGGUCUAGCGUAACGGCAAAGUGCGAAGGGUCUAGCGUAACAGCAAAGCAAACACAUUCGGGAAGCUUGAUUGUUGAUCGUUGAUUGUUGACUGUUAAUUGUUAAAUAAACUUUUUGUUGAAUACCGAGAGUACUUCUUGGGCACUUACAACCAACACCACCUCAAAUGGAGCAUCGAGUGUCAUGUAUCAUGAACACAUGCUGAGAACUUAUCGUGCUUUGUAUUAUUUGUGCUUUGUAGCGUAAUUUUGGCGGAAACUUUAAACGAAAUCAUCUUUACAGGGGAUAAAAUGUAUCAUAUUUUAUAUAAACCUUUUUUGUUCAAACGAAUACUACAAAAUGAUUUGAAGAAUUAGAAGAGAAUUGCCUUUAUUUGGAUUGUUUGAUAAAAAUUAAAAAGAGAUAAAUUGGGUUGAUUAAUUGAUAUUCACAUUAACAAAUUAUUAAGUGACAAACGAAUUGUCAGGCGAUCAAUUUUCUGAGCCACUGUAAGUCUUCUGAAAAGCAUGUGAUGGGUCGAGUCAGGUAAUAUUCAAUUUAAUUAAUUAGCCUGCCUAACUGACGUUAUUAAUAUUUUUCUAUAUGCAAGAUUGCAAAACGGCCAAAAUAGUUUUCACGUGGGACUAAUUAAUGACAUUAUUGAACUUUAAAAUUACUUUUUUAUAAAAGAUAGGAAACGCUAUUCAUAUAUCAUACACAAUUUAUUUCAAAAAAUUAGUAUGUAUCGAAUAUUCUGCUAAACAUUACUUUGUGUAUAUAUUCUGGAAGAAAAAUAUAAUGAUCGUAUUUGCUACAAGCCCUGCAAUUUUCUCUCAUCUAUGGAAGAGUUUAUAUACUCAAGUUAUACGGGACUUUGUAGAUCACUGCGACCAACUCGUUUCAACGCUGGUGCGCGAUGCUAUGAAAAAAUAGAGGAGCAAGAAACUACCUGAAGCCCCAGAGCUCACAAAGGGUACGUAUGAAGUGGUAUGCAUCGAUUUUGAUGAAACUCCAUAGGCUAGUGAAGAAGUGAGAAAUAUUUGCUCACGUGCAGUCGUCUCUGAAACUUCACCAUUUAUUUUAUCCGGAAUAUUUUAAGCCGUGAUAUUCUACUAUCAAAGUAACUUUUUUUUAUCAGUCCUAUCUUUCCAGAAUCUUGUUAUACUAUACUGAGAAGUAUGAUGUAAGUCUGUCUACUGCUAUUUCUUAUAAAAUAAUCUUCUGUAUAUUUAUUGCUAUACAAAUUUCAUUAGAUAUAUUUGUUUAGGUUGUGAAGACGUACCUGACAGAGAAUAAAAUUACAAAUUUAAUUAGAUAAUCAAAGAAAACGACAACCGUGAUAUUUUAUUAUAAAAGAAACAUUUUUUUAUCAGUCCUAUCUUUCCAGAAUCAUGUUAAACUAUAUAGAGAAGUAUGAUGUAGGUUGUGAAGACGUACCUGACAGAGAAUAAAAUUACAAAUUUAAUUAGAUAAUCAAAGAAAACGACAACCGUGAUAUUUUAUUAUAAAAGAAACAUUUUUUUAUCAGUCUUAUCUUUCCAAAAUCAUGUUAAACUAGAUAGAGAAGUAUGAUGUAGGUUGUGAAGACGUACCUGACAGAGAAUAAAAUUACAAAUUUAAUUAGAUAAUCAAAGAAAACGACAACCGUGAUAUUUUAUUAUAAAAGAAACAUUUUUUUAUCAGUCCUAUCUUUCCAGAAUCAUGUUAAACUAUAUAGAGAAGUAUGAUGUAGGUUGUGAAGACGUAUCUGACAGAGAAUAAAAUUACAAAUUUAAUUAGAUAAUCAAAGAAAACGACAACCGUGAUAUUUUAUUAUAAAAGAAACAUUUUUUUAUCAGUCCUAUCUUUCCAGAAUCAUGUUAAACUAUAUAGAGAAGUAUGAUGUAGGUUGUGAAGACGUAUCUGACAGAGAAUAAAAUUGCAAAUCUAAUUAGAUAAUCAAAGAAAACGACAACCGCGAUAUUUUAUUAUAAAAGAAACAUUUUUUUAUCAGUCCUAUCUUUCCAGAAUCAUGUUAAACUAUAUAGAGAAGUAUGAUGUAGGUUGUGAAGACGUACCUGACAGAGAAUAAAAUUAUACAUCUAAUUAGAUAAUUGAAGAAAAUGACAACUUUCUUGCUUAGGUAUCUCAUAAAAUAUUGGGUAGCAACUAAAUGAUUGUGGAUUUUGUCAAUACCACCCAAUGAAUAUCAAACAAAAUUUUGACAUUAGGUGGUAUUGACAAAAUCCGCAAUCACGUAGUUUCCAACCCAAUACAAUGAUGUUGUGCUUCCUAAAAACUUUUUACGUUAUACUUGCAAGAUGAUAUCAGCAUUGCGAUGGCUGCAACACGAUAAAUUGUAACGAUAGCUCGUCGCUGCAAUUGCAGAUUAUUCCACUUAGAAGUGACGCAAUUUAGAAAUUCUACUAAAGUACUUUGGAAUCAAUUUCGUCCAAGUCAUCGCUUCUCCUCCUACGGAUACCAAUUUCUGUCUGAGUUGUACGGUAGAACUUGUGGCCACACAAUGAAAAUCUGUUGCAAACUAUUAUACGAACAACUGUGCUGGACACUCAGAGUCACAUGCAAGAUCAUCUGAUAUUAUCUCGAUGGAACUUAGGUAGAUCUUAUUGCUAGUGGUUGCACAUCUUCGUGGGUAUAAUGGAGAAUUCAAUCCAUCACUGUCAUACCGCUACCCUGAGAAAUUACCCCACAGAUAUAACCAAGCCUUUCUCUACUCUGAGAUACUGUGAUUUAUUUAAAAAGAAAUUCCAUUAAAUCACAAAAAAUGCACGAGAAUUAAAAGUUGAUGUUUCUAUCAAGUUCUAUCAAGUUUGUUGGAAAUAUUGGAAAUUAAAAUUAAUCGUAAAAUCGUAGAAAAAUUAAUCUUUCGUGAGAAUGAAAAUAGCUUAAUGAAAAUUGACUUUUCCCCCAUCUCUCGAUAUUCUGUUCAGACAAAACAUAAAUUUAUUCGCUUAGAGAAGACAUUUUUCUUCUACGGUAAUCUAUUAUCUCUGCUUGAAAGAGUUGCAAAAACUUGUUGAAACAUAUAGAAAUUAGACGAUGUUCUAAUUUUUCCUUUGAACGUGAUUUUUACUAUUAUGUGAAAUUCGAAAAUGAUAAAACAGCUUUUAAGGAUAAUUAAAUUCAUUAUUUCAGUGAGAUAAUAAAUUAUUUCUCUACGAAUGUUAUUUAAUUAUUGAAGCGUUUCUGUGAAUUUUCCAUUAGAGGAGAGCAUGUCAAAAUAACAUGAAAAAAUUAACGCUCUGCAAACAUCGUUCGUAUGUCCCUCGUCUGCAUUAUUUACUACCAACCACUUGACCGACAUAUCACUGCUAAUUUUUCCCAGCUAUGGUACGCCAAGUGACUAAUUGGGACGUUUAUUAUUUUUUUUUUUUUUUUAUUUUAUUUUAUCGUCAGUUAGCUGUUACCGACCGCAUUGUACUGAUCCGCAAAAACUUUAUUCCGUACUGCUUCUACACACGCGAAACGGCCAAUUUUCACAUACAAUUUUCAUAGUACCGAUGAUGCUUGCCAAAGACGUGCACGAAAUAUAGGGGAAAUAUGGGUAUUGGCAACUAAGUGAUUGCUGAUUUUGUCACUAGGUGGCAAUGACAAUCCAAUAUUAAACGUUCGUCGAGAUGUCACGCAAAAUAAAAAAAAGGAAAUCUCAGAUGAAAAGAAAAAUAAAAUAUAAAAAAGUAAAAAGAGAAUUUAUUUUUGAACACUUGGUUUACACUAAUUACGAUUUGGUUCUGAACUCCAGCCGUGACUUUCCAAGACUGAAGCUCUUACAAUUUGACUUUCGAUUGGGCUUCAACUAAAUUAAACGAAACGAAUACGAUUUUCCUUAUCAUUAAAGUUGACUUCUAUUACCAUCCUCUACAUAUGUAAAUUAAUUCGAUGAGAGCCACGUUAAUGAUUGCAUCGCUGUUGCAAAAUGAUCUAUAAUCAAUGCGUAAUUGGAGAAGCAGCGAUCGUAGCCGCAUUUAUUGUACUUCACCGAAACAAGCCGGACGACGAGUUAUCGACAGUAUCUCGAUAUAGUACAAAUGCACGUUAAAUCUGUGUGAAGAGGUCCGAUAAUGAUGUCAUUUAUACAAAACUUAUCGACGUAUCCGCUACUGCAAUUGAUGAUUCUAAAAUUACGUUUUAUACCGUACACAGUCGCAUCCGGUUACGAAAUACAACUGAAAUAUUACGAAGCAUUGAUUAUGAAUUUAUUGCAAUAUUUCUGCAACUUCAAACAACAUUAUCAUUUGUAACAAAUCGGACGCACAAAACACUCUGCGCGCAGACACGUUCUCCAACAGAUGCCUAAUCGUUUCCACGAGUUAAAAAACCGAAAGGACCAAUUUAAUGCAAACAAAACGGCACAUACUACCGAACUAAUUUGAUCAUGCGAAAAGCGAUUAACACUUUGACUGCCACGCCGAAAUCACAUGUUCCGUUCAAAACGCCACGAGAGUAUUUUUAUCAUUCAAAGCAUAUAAUGACAAAAUAAUAAUAAAGUGAUGAACCUGUCGAUGCAUUCGGUUUGAAUCCUCGUAUGAAACUGACUGCCCUUCGAUUUUUUCCUUCGUCUUCUCUUGGAGACGACCCCCACCACGCGCGAGACUCGCAACCGUUCGCGCCAAUGAUCACGUACGCCACUUUUUUGCGUAGGUAAAAUAACGAACCGGAGACGAAUAGAUGUUUUUAAGAACUCGCUGCUUGACGACAACUAUGCGAUUAUCGCUAUAUUGUGUAUAUCUCGCCGGUCAUGUAAGACGAUCUGUCUGCGACACCGUAGUACCAAGGGAGACGGUUAGAAACACGGCCUAUAGUAAACCUCGGGGCGUAGCACAAAUUAUAGCAUAUUCUACAUCACAUAGAAGAACCCUCAAGUGAUAUAUAAAAUUAGCUUCAGAGUUACUGUUAAAUAUAUCAAUUUCAAACGCGAUGAUACUCUAUAAACAAGCAAGAAGAACAAAAAUCAAGGUAUCAGAUUUUAGAAUGGCACUCGCGAUGCACCUUACACAGUGCCAUUCACCAGAGCCGUGAAAUAUACUUAUUCGACAAAGAUUGCGACGCGAAACGCAGAAGAAAGAAGGGCAAGCGUACCUGGCACGAAAAUUUUGCAGAGAGUGGUAUAAAAAAAAUGUUAAACAGUUAGGAUCAAAAAUUGCUAAGAAUCGGAUCAAAGAGGUGACCACCUAUCGUCCAGAUUGUAUCGAUGAGCCACAUUUAGGUUUAAAGUGUUUGAACACAGUGCACCGUUAGAUGCAACAUUUGUUUUCAUUUUUUUUUUUUUUGAUGCUCUAAUAAAAAUGUUUAAUUGUUCAAUGGGGAACUUUUUAUUUCAAAGUAUCUUCUAUUUAUCGGUUAUAUUCAAAAUGCCCCAACUGUCAAUUUUCAUUCAAUUUUGUCACCAAUGACCAAAGUGUUAAACGUACAAAAUGGCGUGGAUGACUUUCACGACUAUAGGCAAUUUAAAUCAAACCUUAUCUGCUAAAGAAUGAAAUUGAAACGAUAAUUACCAGGUUAUCGCGAUGAAGUAUACAAGUGUCAACAGUUGGGAGCGUAAAAUCGAAAGGUGAAAAGAGGCACAGGCCAGAAAGAGAAGAAAAUUUUUCCCUUGGUGAUGUAUCUAUUUCACGAAGAAGAGCAGCGGCGGCAAUUUAAAGGUGCCUUUAAUGAACGCUCGCUUAAAGAACAGUGGCCUGGAGGAACGAGCGUAAGCCCCACUGAACGAAACUGCUUCAGAUUUACGGCUGCAAAUGAAUUACAAUGCUUAACGACGUCCCUCCGCAGGGCAGACCUAUUAAGAAAAACCGAGCAUCCUCAGGGUAGUAUCUGGGACACGCGCUUAUUAUCGCCAGACAACAAGCGGUAAAGAAAACUCGCCGACUUACGACUUCAAUUUCCAGUUUCCCUAAAUAUAUUUUAAAUGAUGGCCCGUUAUUGUAUCCCGCGAAUCGUGACUCGUAUAGAAACACGAUGCUCUAACGAAGUACGCGAAGCCAAAGCUAAUUGCAGUAACCGGGGCCGAUUAAAAUAUACUAACGACGAUUGAAGUAGCCUGGUGAAAAACGUACGAGUUGUUAUCGCGAGAAUAAAGAACGGUAUUGCGCGAGAAACGGACAAAGCAUAUGGAGGAGAUUUCUACAUUAUCGAGGUGGCAGUAACGAGCUUCAUAAUUCACCAGCUGCAAUGGUAAAUGAUGACAAACGAAAAUAUUUUUUUCAUAGAGAAAAUCGUAACGUUAAUUAAUUUUACCACGUAUUUAUUACUGUAUUUUUAUCGUUUAUUCUUAACAUUCAAUCGUUACCAUUUUGAUCAAUAUAAAAGCAAAAGAAAUUAUAAAAUGCUAGAAGUUAUUUGUGCAAUUUGUAGGUUAUAUAUUUUCUACACUUUUAUCGUGUGCCAUUUUGCAAUUCUACAAUUGGUUAACUCUCACGGAGCUGACGAAGUAAAAACUUGCAAUUUAUUCGUCGCAACUUUAAUUUCACCAUCUAUGACACAAACCAAAAUCUUCGUGCAACUUACAACUAUUGAAUUGGCAACUAAGUGGUUGCGGAUUUUGUCAAUAGAUGGUACUGACACCACAGAGAGCAACAUCUUACGUGUUUGAUCGCGUUUGAAAGAUAGGAAGCAAAAAGAAAUUUGAAAAAGACCGGGCAAGAAGGUAAGAAGAGAUAAGAAGAGAAGAUGCAAGGAGGAAAAUAAAGAGCGA